GUCGAGCGACAGAUAGGAGCUUGCUCCUUUGACGUUAGCGGCGGAUGGGUGUAACACGUGGGUAACCUACCUAUAAGACUGGGAUAACUUCGGGAAACCGGAGCUAAUACCGGAUAACAUUUGGAACCGCAUGGUUCUAAAGUGAAAGAUGGUUUUGCUAUCACUUAUAGAUGGACCCGCGCCGUAUUAGCUAGUUGGUAAGGUAACGGCUUACCAAGGCGACGAUACGUAGCCGACCUGAGAGGGUGAUCGGCCACACUGGAACUGAGACACGGUCCAGACUCCUACGGGAGGCAGCAGUAGGGAAUCUUCCGCAAUGGGCGAAAGCCUGACGGAGCAACGCCGCGUGAGUGAUGAAGGGUUUCGGCUCGUAAAACUCUGUUAUUAGGGAAGAACAAAUGUGUAAGUAACUGUGCACAUCUUGACGGUACCUAAUCAGAAAGCCACGGCUAACUACGUGCCAGCAGCCGCGGUAAUACGUAGGUGGCAAGCGUUAUCCGGAAUUAUUGGGCGUAAAGCGCGCGUAGGCGGU
rnacentral:rRNA from 1 species